UACGUAGGGUGCGAGCGUUGUCCGGAAUUAUUGGACGUAAAGAGCUCGUAGGCGGUCAGUCGCGUCUGCUGUGAAAACUCGGGGCUUAACUCCGGGCCUGCAGUGGGUACGGGCUGACUAGAGUGCGGUAGGGGAGACUGGAAUUCCUGGUGUAGCGGUGAAAUGCGCAGAUAUCAGGAGGAACACCGGUGGCGAAGGCGGGUCUCUGGGCCGUAACUGACGCUGAGGAGCGAAAGCGUGGGGGAGCGAACAGG
rnacentral:rRNA from 1 species